AUGACUAGGGAUAACCUUAGGAAGAGACACAUCAUCAAACCCCUUGAUUGUGUUUACUGCUUGGAACAAGAGUCUUGUUCUCACCUAUUUUUUGAAUGUAUAGUUGCUAAACAUCUCUGGGCCCACAUUGAGGAAUAUUUCUCUAGUCAGAUUGGCUCAUCCUUCGAAUGUGUCACCAGAUUCUGGAUUGCUACCAAAAAGUGCUCAGUUUUAAACACUGUUAGCUCAGCUGUCCUUUGGUGCCUCUGGAAAUAUAGAAAUGCUAUGAUUUUCAGUAACACCUCCUGGAUUUCCAUUCCGCAGGUCUUGAUGUUGAUCAGGAACAUGGUGAGGAACUGGGCGAUUCUCUCCUCCGGAUCGGACAAGGACAAGUUGAUGAGCUUCGUGGAAACCCUAACAAGAUCCCUCCAGAAACCAUUGGCGAUCACUUGUGGCUGA
rnacentral:rRNA from 1 species